rnacentral:rRNA from 1 species
AGCGAACGCUGGCGGCGUACCUAACACAUGCAAGUCGAACGCUCCGCAAGGGGAGUGGCGCACGGGUGAGUAACACGUGGGAACCUACCUUCUGGUACGGAACAACCAAGGGAAACUUUGGCUAAGACCGUAUACGACCUCCGGGUGAAAGAUUGAUCGCCGGAAGAGGGGCCCGCGUCCGAUUAGGUAGUUGGUGAGGUAACGGCUCACCAAGCCUUCGAUCGGUAGCUGGUCUGAGAGGAUGACCAGCCACACUGGGACUGAGACACGGCCCAGACUCCUACGGGAGGCAGCAGUGGGGAAUAUUGGACAAUGGGGGCAACCCUGAUCCAGCAAUGCCGCGUGAGUGAUGAA